rnacentral:rRNA from 1 species
GACAGAGGAUGCAAGCGUUAUCCGGAAUGAUUGGGCGUAAAGCGUCUGUAGGUGGCUUUUUAAGUCUGCCGUCAAAUCCCAGGGCUUAACCCUGGACAGGCGGUGGAAACUACCAAGCUGGAGUACGGUAGGGGCAGAGGGAAUUUCCGGUGGAGCGGUGAAAUGCGUAGAGAUCGGGAGGAACACCCGUAGCGAAGGCGGCACUCUGGGCCGAUACUGACACUGAGGAGCGAAAGCGUGGGGAGCGAACAGG